ACCAGUUGUGAAGACUGCGGGAGAAGUGCAGUAUCUGGGCCAGAGUGUACUGUUCCUCGUGGUACAGUCUCUCACGGCUUCCCUUGGCUAGGAAAGGGAAAUCCCCUGACCCCUUGUGCUUCCUGGGUGAGGCAACGCCACACCCUGCUUUAGCUCACCCUUUGUGGGCUGCACCCACUGUCCAACCAGUCCCAAUGAGAUGAAAUGGGAAACGCAGAAAUCCCCUGCCUUCUGUGUCAAUCUCACUGGGAACAGCAGACCAGAGCUAUUCCUAUUCAGCCAUCUUUCCAGCUCUUAGGAAAGGCCGUGUGACGGCACAGUGAGAAAGUAGUCAUCUAAAAGCCAGGAAGAGAGGCCUCUCCUGAAACCAACUCUGCCAGCACCUUCAUCUUGGACUUCCAGCAUCCUGAAUGGUGAGAAAGUACUUCAGGCAGUUGCACAGUAAUCAUGCCAUCCAAGUUGGUCUUCCCAAUGAAGGCAGGCUUGCCAACUCUAUUGUGUUUUCCUUACCUGAGGACAUUGGGGUGCUGUCAGCCAGA
rnacentral:lncRNA from 10 species